rnacentral:rRNA from 1 species
AAUCAACGCUGGCGGCGUGCCUCAGACAUGCAAGUCGAACGCGAAAGUCCCCUUCGGGGGACGAAGUAGAGUGGCGCACGGGUGAGUAACACGUAGGUAAUCUACCUUCGGAUGGGGAAUAACAACCGGAAACGGUUGCUAAUACCGCAUAAUGCAGCGGCACCUAAUGGUGACAGUUGUUAAAGCGGGGGAUCGAAAGACCCCGCGUCUGAAGAGGAGCCUGCGGCGGAUUAGCUAGNGGUAAGGUAAUGGCUUACCAAGGCGACGAUCCGUAGCCGGCCUGAGAGGGCGGUCGGCCACACUGACACUGACAUACGGGUCAGACUCCUACGGGAGGCAGCAGUCGGGAAUUUUGGGCAAUGGGCGAAANCCUGACCCAGCAACGCCGCGUGAAGGAUGAAAUCCCUCGGGAUGUAAAC